AACUAUUUCUACCAACAUUCCAUCAUCAUUAGUGUCAUUAAAAGCUCCACUCCAAGUCCCAAUAAACAUUCGGUGAUAAUUUGCUCUCGCAGCAAUGAAAGAAAUUCUAAUAAAAAAAAUGUUAAACAUUUUAAAUUUUUAAUUUCAAGAAAUUAUCUUAAAUUAUAAAAUUUAAGUAAACUAAUUAUAUUUUAUAAGUUUUUAGUAUAAAAAAUUUAAGAUGUGCAGCACUAUUUUAUUUUUUCAUAAAAAUUGUUAUUCUCACUCUUGUAGAAAGUGGAAUCCUAUAAUGAUAAAUUUAUAAAUUAUUAUCUUAGUGUCAUUUCUAACCUAUUUUAAAUUCAAAAAACGACAAAAAAAAUAAAUUUUAAAUCAUGUAACAAACCAUGCAUUAUUGUUAUUAUUUUUAAAGUUCUUAAGCCUCGUAGUCGUUGAAUUCAAGCUAUAUUAAAUUAGUUUACAUCAAUAUCAUAUCUAAAACUUCGAUAUUUAUUCAUAUGUUAACGCUCUUAAGAAGAGUUGCUGGGGAAGGCACUAGUCAAAGUCAAUAAAAAUUGUCAUAAGCUUUUCAUGAAAUAUUAUUUUUGAGUUAAUUAUUUUGGAAUUAUGAGCCAUUUCUAUCCUUUUUAUUUGCAAGGCAAAUUAUUUUGUCUAAUAGAAAUCCAUUUGAUACUAUGUAAAAAAUCUUGAUUCUUGAUGAUUCAACUUCAUAGAAUGGUGAUAUGAUCUAAGAUCUUAAACUCUUAUUAAAAUAUAAGACGAAUUGACAACAAUGUAAAUAUAAUUUUACAUCGUUAUAAAUUAUUUGACAAUUUCAUAAAUUGUCAAAACUCAUCCGAAUUUUAAUUCCAGAUUGAAAAUUUUUCCUUAUACUCCGUAAUAAUCAAAUCUUUAGUCCACGUCAUAGCCCAUGCACACCGCACUAAUUGACAUGCACCAAUAAAUUUUUUGCAUGCAAUUUUAUAUAUCAAAAAGUAGCUUCGCAUUAUUAUGCCUGUGCUCUAUAAAGUAGAAGUAAAUAGACCUCACCUUGUCUUCUUAGGGAGCUCUCGGGUCAUGGAGAAAAGCAAAUCAUUUUCAGGGAAUCCAAGCUCCUGCUUCGACGCCCAGUUCGGGUUCGAGGAUCGGUCGAAAUCUUAUAGCUUCAACGGUCCGACCGGGAAGGCGGAUGUGUUAGCCUCUUCAGGCAACCCAGAGAGCAAGAGGAGGAAAAGGGUGGCUGCUUAUAAUAUGUACACUAUGGAAGGUAAGCUCAAGUCAUCGCUUCGCAACAGUUUCAAGUGGAUCAAGAACAAGUUCAGUGAUGAUUAAUGCGAUGUUUGAAGUAAGCAAGCUGUUCUUUGGCAACAGAAAUUAGGGUUCUUCUUCUUCUUUUUUUUUUUUUUUAAUCCCAUAAUUGAAUUGUGAUUAUGUUUUGAAGUUUGUGUAUAAGGAGCUUGUAAUAUAAAUCGAUGAUCGUCAUGUGUUUGUUGUUUGUUCGUGUUUCUUUCUUAUUGCCUCCGAGCACUGCAUGUUAACUACAGAUUGAUGAUUGACGAGCCUGUUUAAUUAACAAACUAUUGAGCUUUACUAUUUCAAUGGGCUUGCAAUCUGUAGGGGUGCAUUUAGACGCAUUAAAUUAAAUUGGGCAGAAACACUUUAAAGACCCAUCACUUGUGAGUCCAUUUUAAUGGGGCUUCUUAAGUACAGAUGAAUUUAUUGAUACAAGUUUGAAGUUUACAUUCUUCCCACGAAGCGAUGCCAAUAAUUCACUUUCGAUCAUUCUUUACCUCUCCUUCGGCUC
rnacentral:lncRNA from 1 species